AAAGAGACAGACAGGUUGUCAGACAGACAGGUGGUCUCACAGACAAAGACACAGACAGGUGGUCUUACAGACAAAGAGACAGACAGGUGGUCAGACAGGUGGUCAGACAGACAGGUGGUCUCACAGACAAAGACACAGACAGGUGGUCUUACAGACAAAGAGACAGACAGGUUGUCAGACAGACAGGUGGUCUCACAGACAAAGACACAGACAGGUGGUCUCACAGAAAAAGAGACAGACAGGUGGUCAGACAGGUGGUCAGACAGACAGGUGGUCUCACAGACAAAGAGACAGACAGGUGGUCUUACAGACAAAGAGACAGACAGGUGGUCAGACAGACAGGUGGUCUCACAGAAAAAGAAACAGACAGGUGGUCAGACAGACAGGU